CCGAGCUGGAUGGGCUUGGGGCACUUAACCUCCCUGAGCCCCACGUGCCUCAGCUGUAGAAGGGGCGUCGUACCCCCGGUGCGCGGUUUCCGGGACCACUGAGUCAGCCCAAGAGUGGACGAGUUCUUCGCUGACCUCACGGCCACAGGGGACACUCGGAGAGCUUGAAGGAUGGGUCAGAGCUGCCGGAAGCACGGAGUGGCAGAGGAAUGGGAGACCAGAUGAGAAAAGGAAAGACCCACCCAGUCACCCCGCAGAGACAGGACUCAACACCAGGUCAGCCUGACCCCGAAGCUGAGGAUCUUAACCACGGACGGUAAUGCUUCCAGGCCCUGCUUUUUACCCAGAAGAUGCAGCACCUCGCGUUUAUCACCAGCAGAGCGAUGACUUCCAACUACGUUUACAAAUGUGAAGAAAAGAUUUACAAAUACAAGUAUAAAUGUAUUCUGUUUACAAACAGGGUAAUGGAAAUGCUGUUUGAAAGUUUAGAAAAACACACACUAAGGGAAAAGAAAGACAACUCAAAACCAAAUUUACAAAUCGCUCAUAUAAUAGUAAGAGCGAGAACUAUAUAUUAUGACAAAAGAUGAAAACUCAGCAGAAAAACUAGCAAAGGGUGUGAUUAGAAAGCUGAGGAAAAGAAGUUGCACAGAUGGCCCAAAAUAAAUGGAAAAAAAGUUUAAACUUUCUAAGUAAAGAAAGAGAAACUGGAGCAAGAAAGGAUUUUGGAAAAUGACAAAAGCCUCUGUUGGGAAUGCUGUGGGGGGGGAUGGUGAGGAGGACACUUUGGUCUGCUGGGAUGUGGAGUGUAAAUGCUUUUGAGGACAAGACCCUUUUUGGGGCACUUUUUAGCCUUAAAAAUAUGUAUAAUCCUUGACUGUUAAAAUUUCAGUUCUAGGGACUGAC